UAUUUUACUUAGAACCAGUUUGUGCUGGCUGUACUCAGCACAGUUUAGUUUUAUUUUCUCUGCAGUAAAGAAGCUUUUCUUGCUCAAGUGCCUGUCCUUGUGUUGAACCCAAAUUAUUACAAUCUGCUAGAUGCAAUUCUGUAGUAGUCAAUCACAACAUAGGCAUUCUGGACCAGAGGUGUGCUGUUUGAACCAGGAUGGGAGACUCCAUUCUAAGAUGGCAUCUUUGAGUGCCUGGGGAAAGUUCAUGAGGAUCCACUACAGGCUUUUAUUUGCACACAAGAUGUCCUUCCAGAGCAUGGGAAGUGCUUGAAACUCAGAAUUUCUUGAAUGGCAGAAGAAUGCUUUGACAAGACAGUUGCUCUUUAUUGGGACAGCACCUUCUCCUUGGCGGAAAGACCCAUGAUCUGCAGUCCUUCAACAACGCUGAGAGCUCUGUAAAACAACACAGAUAUGAAGUCCUCAGUGGGCAUUCUCAACAUCUCGCAUGGCACAAAGCGAAAUUCUAAAUUGUGAAACAGAAGAGGACAGGCCUAGAGAAGAGAGAUACGCUUCUUUACUAGGGGCUGCUGGAAAGUUUGAAGACAGGGUGAAGCUGAAGAAUGAAUCCUGACAACACUGGCACUGUUUCUAUUAUACAAGAGGAAGAGUGGUGAAAUGUGAUGCCCAUAUUUCAGGAAACAUUGUGUGCUUUGUUUGUAGUUCUAAUAACUAGCCAAACAUUGGUAUACAUCUCAGAGAUCAACAAUAGGCCUUGAGAUGGAUUCAGAAUAGAUGCAAUUGAAAAGCAAAAUUGACUUCCCAAAGCUGAACUGCAAAGCAGCUCUCUACAGAGCGUGGGGAGCAAAAGACCUUGGCAUUGGCACCACAUUUCCAGUGCUACUAUUUUUGUUGAAACACUGAGGGAACUGCAAUCUGAAGGUUCUCCUGAUUUUUGUUAUUUACUUAAAAGCAGCUGUUUGUAAGUGGGGUUCAAACUGGAUCAGAACCAAGGGAUAGGGUGUUUAACUUUUCCCCACCCUUAAAGGCUCCUUAAAUCCCUAUGCUGUAGUUGGCUACAUGGGGCGGGGGCAUGGAGCACAGAUUCCUUUAUUUUUUGUCCUAUAGCACUAACAACAGUUGCAGUGGGAGGGCAUCUACAUCUGCUAAAAAGGACAAGUGGAAAGAACUGGAUACUGCCACCCCCCCUCCAGUGCCAAGGCUCUGAUCUAAUUCUAAGUCCUGUGCAGGUGUUUUUAUGUAAAAAUAAAGAUCUCAGGAGACCCGAUCGUGGCUCUCUUGCAGUACUGUUUGCUUUUAAUUUGACCUGAUAUGAAGAGCAUGUCUGAGAAUAAAAUGUGCCUCCGUUAUU